rnacentral:rRNA from 1 species
CCCUUAGAUGUUCUGGGCCGCACGCGCGCUACAAUGAUGAAUUCAACGAGUUUAUAACCUUGGUUGAAAAGCCUGGGUAAUCUUUUGGACUUUCGUCGUGAUGGGGCUAGACCCUUGCAAUUAUUGGUCUCCAACGAGGAAUUCCUAGUAAACGCAAGUCAUCAGCUUGCAUUGAUUACGUCCCUGCCCUUUGUACACACCGCCCGUCGCACCUACCGAUUGAAUGGUCCGGUGAAAUCUUCGGACUGCGCGGUCUGCAGUUUCUGCGUUCCGUGCGGAAAGUUGCGCAAACCUUAACAUUUAGAGGAAGGAGAAGUCGUAACA